rnacentral:tRNA from 1 species
UAUAUAAAAGUGUAAGAUGCACAUUAGAUUUUGAUUCUUUUAGGUAUGGUUUAAUUCCAUAUUAUAUAG